rnacentral:rRNA from 1 species
GGCGGCGUGGCUAAGCAUGCAGUCGUACGCGAAAGUCCUUCGGGAACGAGUAGAGUGGCGAAAGGGCGAGGAAUACAUGGGUAACAUACCCCCGGCACAGGGAUAGCCGCGGGAAACCGUGGGUAAUACCUGAUAUGACCACGGCAUCUUAUGAUGCAGCGGUAAAAGGGUGGGGACCUUCGGGCCUACCGGCCAGGGAGUGGCCCAUGUCCUAUCAGCUUGUUGGUGAGGUAACGGCUCACCAAGGCGACGACGGGUACCGGGGCUGAGAGGCUGAUCCGGCGCAUUGGGACUGAGACACUGCCCAGACUCCUACGGGAGGCUGCAGCGACGAAUAUUGCACAAUGGGCGCAAGCCUGAUGCAGCGACGCCGCGUGUGGGAGGAAGCCCCUCGGGGUGUAAACCACUGUCAGGGACCACCAAGCGACCCGGGCGAAUAGUCCGGGAAGUUGAGGAAUCCCAGAGGAAGUCACGGCUAACUUCGUGCCAGCAGCCGCGGUAAGACGAAGGUGGCAAGCGUUGUUCGGAAUCACUGGGCUUAAAGAGCACGUAGGCGGAUUGUCAAGCACUUUGUGAAAUCCCUCGGCUUAACCGAGGAAUUGCUUGGUGAACUGGCAGUCUUGAGGCAGGUAGAGGCACACGGAACUCUUGGUGGAGCGGUGGAAUGCGUAGAUAUCAAGAGGAACGCCAGAGGCGAAAGCGGUGUGCUGGGCCUGACCUGACGCUGAGGUGCGAAAGCCAGGGGAGCAAACGGGAUUAGAUACCCCGGUAGUCCUGGCCAUAAACGAUGUCCACUAGGCCUGAGGUGUUCUGACACACUUCCGGCCGAAACAAAAGCGUUAAGUGGACCGCCUGGGGAGUACGGUCGCAAGGCUAAAACUCAAAGGAAUUGACGGGGGCUCACACAAGCGGUGGAGCAUGUUGCUUAAUUCGAUGCAACGCGAAGAACCUUAUCCUGGGCUUGACAUGUAGGAGUACCUCCCUGGAAACAGGGUUGGUUGCCCUUCGGGGUGAAGCCUACACAGGUGCUGCAUGGCUGUCGUCAGCUCGUGUCGUGAGAUGUUGGGUUAAGUCCCGUAACGAGCGAAACCCUUGUCGUUAGUUGCCAGCGCGUUAUGGCGGGGACUCUAACGAGACUGCCGGUGUUAAACCGGAGGAAGGUGGGGAUGACGUCAAGUCCUCAUGGCCUUUAUGCCCAGGGCUGCAAACGUGCUACAAUGGCGUGUACAAACCGACGCAAGACCGCGAGGUGGAGCAAAUCGGAAAAAGCACGCCCCAGUUCGGAUUGGAGUCUGCAACUCGACUCCAUGAAGUCGGAAUCGCUAGUAAUCGCAGAUCAGCAUG